GAUGAAGAACGUAGCGAAAUGCGAUAAGUAAUGUGAAUUGCAGAAUUCAGUGAAUCAUCGAAUCUUUGAACGCACAUUGCGCCCGGUAGUAUUCUGGCGGGCAUGCCUGUUCGAGCGUCAUUUCAACCAUCAAGCCCCCGGCUUGUGUUGGGGACCUGCGGCUGCCGCAGGCCCUGAAAACCAGUGGCGGGCUCGCUGUCACACCGAGCGUAGUAGAUUUUCAUCUCGCUCAGGGCGUGCUGCGGGUUCCGGCCGUAAAAAGCCUUAUUUACCCAAGGUUGACCUCGGAUCAGGUAGGAAGACCCGCUGAACUUAAGCAUAUCAAUAAGCGGAGGA
rnacentral:misc_RNA from 1 species